rnacentral:rRNA from 1 species
GUGGGGAAUCUUCCGCAAUGGACGAAAGUCUGACGGAGCGACGCCGCGUGAGUGAUGAAGGCCUUCGGGUCGUAAAGCUCUGUCAUCGGGGACGAACGGCCUCAGCAGGUAAUGGCUGGGGAUUGACGGUACCCGAGAAGGAAGCCACGGCUAACUACGUGCCAGCAGCCGCGGUAAUACGUAGGUGGCAAGCGUUGUCCGGAAUUAUUGGGCGUAAAGCGCGCGCAGGUGGGAUCUUAAGUCCAUUUUGAAAGUUCGGAGUUCAACUCCGUGAUGGGAUGGAAACUGGGAUUCGUGAGUACCGGAGAGGAAAGCGGAAUUCCCCGUGUAGCGGUGAAAUGCGUAGAUAUGGGGAGGAACACCAGUGGCGAAGGCGGCUUUCUGGACGGUGUCUGACACUGAGGCGCGAAAGCUAGGGGAGCGAACGGGAUUAGAUACCCCAGUAGUCC